UGUAAGCGAACGAGAGGGAGCUGCGGACUGCUCAGUAACAGGCGAAUAAUUUAAUCUUUACAAACGGACAAACUCAGGAAACGGAGUGAAAUACGAAAAAGUUGAUAUUUUUAUAAAAAGAAAUCGAACUUAGCUUGAAAAAGCGGUAAAGAAUAAGACGCCAGCCCAUCAGUUAGUAAGUAAGGUAAGGGCUUAUUUAGACGAAUACGGGUACGGGGAAUUAGGGUUUGAUUCCGGAGAGGGAGCCUGAGAGACGGCUACCAGGUCCAAGGACGGCAGCAGGCGCGAAAAUUACCGAAGCUCAAAAAGAGGCGGUAGUAAUGAGACGUAAAA
rnacentral:rRNA from 1 species